UUUUUUCCCUUCUUUUUGGAGGGGCUGGGAGUGAUAUUAUGACGGGGAAUGUAUUAUGUAGGAUACAUGCAGUUACAGUGACAAUCAACAAGACCAAAACAAUGCAGAU